AGCAGAGUGGCACAGCAGAAGCAUGCUGGGCCCAUAACCCAGAGGUCGAUGGAUCGAAACCAUCCUCUGCUA
rnacentral:tRNA from 1 species